rnacentral:rRNA from 1 species
UACGUAGGGGGCGAGCGUUGUCCGGAAUUAUUGGGCGUAAAGAGCGUGUAGGCGGUUCGGUAAGUCUGCCGUGAAAACCUGAGGCUCAACCUCGGGCGUGCGGUGGAUACUGCCGGGCUAGAGGACGGUAGAGGCGAGUGGAAUUCCCGGUGUAGCGGUGAAAUGCGCAGAUAUCAGGAGGAACACCAGCGGCGAAGGCGCCGCUCUGGGCCGUAACUGACGCUGAGGAGCGAAAGCAUGGGUAGCAAACAGG